rnacentral:tRNA from 1 species
GGAUGAGUGUCCGAGCGGUCGAAGGAGACGGUCUUGAAAACCGUUGACGGGAAACUGUCCGCGAGUUCGAAUCUCGCCUCAUCCGCCC